CCCUUAGAUGUCCUGGGCUGCACGCGCGCUACACUGGAAGUUACGGAUUGAGAUACUACCUUGUCCGAAAUGGUCCGGGUAAUCACCUAAAAGCUUGUCAUAAUUGGAAUGGAUUAUUGUAACUAGUAAUCCUGAACGAGGAAUUCCUAGUAAGUCCCAGUCAACAGCUGGUACUGAUUACGUCCCUGCCCUUUGUACACACCGCCCGUCGCUACUACUGAUUGGACGUUUAAGCAAGAUUUUUAAACACUGACAGUGAGUAGUUCACGCUAUACUACAGUGAGAAGAAGAAGAUCGAGCUUACUUGUCUAGAGGAAGUAAAAGUCGUAACA
rnacentral:rRNA from 1 species